UACCAGCUCCCCGAGUGGUGGGGACGAUUAUUGGGCUUAAAGCGUCCGUAGCCGGCUUGGCAAGUCUUUCGUUAAAUCCAGCGGCUUAACCGUUGGGCUGCGGGAGAUACUGUCAGGCUAGGGGGCGGAAGAGGCCGACGGUAUUCUCGGGGUAGGGGUGAAAUCCUAUAAUCCCGGGAAGACCACCAGUGGCGAAGGCGGUCGGCUAGUACGCGCUCGACGGUGAGGGACGAAAGCUGGGGGAGCGAACCGGAUUAGAUACCCGGGUAGUCCCAGCUGUAAACGAUGCGAGCUAGGUGUUGGGGCGGCUACGUGCCGCUUCGGUGCCGCAGGGAAGCCAUUAAGCUCGCCGCCUGGGAAGUACGGCCGCAAGGCUGAAACUUAAAGGAAUUGGCGGGGGAGCACUACAAGGCGUGAAGCUUGCGGUUC
rnacentral:rRNA from 1 species